rnacentral:rRNA from 1 species
GCUUGUCUCAAAGAUUAAGCCAUGCAUGUCUAAGUUUAAAUAGAAAACAGUGAAACUGCGAAUGGCUCAUUAAAUAAUUUUGCAUAUACAAGAUAGUCAACUCUACUUGGAUAACCGUAGUAAUUCUAGAGCUAAUACAUGCGCCAAGUCCCGUCUUACGUCGGGAUGUAUUUAUUAGAUUUCAAUCAACACUUUUUGCUGACUCAUGAUAACUUAGCGGAUCGCAGAGGCCUCGCGCCGGCGACAAAUCAUUCAAGUUUCUGCCCUAUCAGCUUUCGAUGGUAGUGUAUUGGACUACCAUGGCAUUCACGGGUAACGGAGGAUUAGGGUUCGAUUCCGGAGAGGGAGCCUGAGAAAUGGCUACCACAUCCAAGGAAGGCAGCAGG